rnacentral:rRNA from 1 species
GACGAACGCUGGCGGCGCGCCUAACACAUGCAAGUCGAACGGAGCUGAGAGAAGCUUGCUUUUCUUAGCUUAGUGGCGAACGGGUGAGUAACGCGUGAGUAACCUGCCCUGGAGUGGGGGACAACAGUUGGAAACGACUGCUAAUACCGCAUAAGCCCACGAUCCGGCAUCGGAUUGAGGGAAAAGGAUUUAUUCGCUUCAGGAUGGACUCGCGUCCAAUUAGCUAGUUGGUGAGGUAACGGCCCACCAAGGCGACGAUUGGUAGCCGGACUGAGAGGUUGAACGGCCACAUUGGGACUGAGACACGGCCCAGACUCCUACGGGAGGCAGCAGUGGGCGAUAUUGCACAAUGGGGGAAACCCUGAUGCAGCGACGCCGCGUGGAGGAAGAAGGUUUUCGGAUUGUAAACUCCUGUCGUUAGGGACGAUAAUGACGGUACCUAACAAGAAAGCACCGGCUAACUACGUG